rnacentral:tRNA from 1 species
GCCGGUGUAGCUCAGUGGUAGAGCAACUGAUUCGUAAUCAGUAGGUCGAGGGUUCAAAUCCCCCCACCGGCU